UCAUCUUUCCUCUCCCACUAACUCAUCCUCUAUGUUUUCUCUCUCCCAUUAUCCUUUCCCAUUUAAUUCAACCCGUUCACCUCUUUCGUUCGCUCACUGCAUAAAUUCCUCUUCCUCUAUGUUUUCUCCCUCUCAUCAUCCUUCCCAUUUAAUUCGAACCCUUCUCUAUUCAAAAACUCAUUCAAACCAUAUAUUUAAACAAUGUCACGCUGUCAUCCAACAUUUGCAAUAUUUAUUUUAUAGAUUCAACCUUUCAUUCCACCAAUCAAAUCUCUUCUCCCGAUUGUUUCCCCAAUUAUCUCUUCCACUCAUCAUAAAUCUUCUUCCAAUACACAAAUUUGAAAUCCGUCCUAACCCUUUAUUUUCUGUUUCGCGAAGUUACUAUGCAUCAACUCACCAAAAUUAUUUAUGGAGCUUUAAUCUUUUCUUCUCCCAUCCCCACAAUGGUCUUCUCCCGUGUGCACGCUUUAUCGUUGAUAAGUGCAGGGAGGUUAUUAAUAGCCCGUGGAUGGAACAACUUGAGGUGGGUGGAUAUAGAUGCUAUUGAGAUUAGUAAUAGAAUGUUGAAGCUUAGGCUGCAUUGGCUCUAGAUGCUGAUAAGAUUAUAGCGACCUAUUUUGUGUAUGUUUAAACAUGUGUUAUAAGUCAUUGAUGUCCCUUAUUCAGAGAGUGCUUAUGUGUACAAGGUAAUUUCAUUUAUGGUUUUGUUUGGUUUUUAGUAUGUUAAGAUUGCAAGUUAAAUUUAUAAUUUGAAGGAGUCAAUGUGUGUUCUAUUUUGUUUGGUAAAACUGUAAAAGCAUAUGUGAUUUAUUUUGGUUACAAAA